rnacentral:ncRNA from 1 species
CAACCUCAACUCAUAUGGGACUACCCCCUGAAUUUAAGCAUAUUAAUUAGGGGAGGAAAAGAAACUAACAAGGAUUUUCUUAGUAGCGGCGAGCGAAAAGAAAUCAGUUCAGCACUAAGUCACUUUGUCUAUAUGGCAAAUGUGAGAUGCAGUGUACGGAACAUCAACAUUCUAGUAUGAGAAGUUAACGAUUUAAGUCCUUCUUAAAUGAGGCCAUUUACCCAUAGAGGGUGCCAGGCCCGUAUAACGUUAAUGAUUACUAGAUGGUGUUUCCAAAGAGUCGUGUUGCUUGAUAGUGCAGCACUAAGUGGGUGGUAAACUCCAUCUAAAACUAAAUAUAACCAUGAGACCGAUAGUAAACAAGUACCGUGAGGGAAAGUUGAAAAGAACUCUGAAUAGAGAGUUAAAUAGUACGUGAAACUGCUUAGAGGUUAAGCCCGAUGAACCUGAAUAUCCGUUAUGGAAAAUUCAUCAUUAGAAUUGUAAUAUUUUAAACAAUAUUAUAAUAAUAGUGUGCAUUUUUUCCAUAUAAGGACAUUGUAAUCUAUUAGCAUAAAUAUUUAUCAUAAAAUUAUGUCUGAUUGCUUAUUUGAAUUAUAUGCUUGGCAUUUUAACAUAAAAUAAAAGAUAUAAAUUUGAUAAAGUGCUGAUAGA